GACAAACCGUUUGUGUUUGUUCUACAGGUGUGUUUCUGAUUCAGAUGAAGUGAAGUCAGUGUCUGUGAUGGAGGGAGAUUCAGUCUCUCUACAGACUAACACUGAACUACAGACAAAUGAUGAGGUAUUCUGGACAUGUGGACACUCAGAGACUCGUAUAGCUGAAAUUGAUAAAGACACUGGAAGAUUCUCCACAUGUGAUGUUCUUGAUGGAGAUUCAGAGACAGACUGAAGCUGGAUCAUCAGACUGGAUCUCUGAUCAUCACAAACACCAGAAACACAGACUCUGAAGUGUAUGACGUAACCAUCAGAAGUAGGAAAGAGACCAUGUACAGAUUCAGUGUCUCUGUUACUGUCUCUGAGUAGUCAAAUGUAUCAGAAGGAGGUGAAUGGAGCAGAUUGAGAGGGAGAAUGUGAAGAAACAGCAGGUGGCGCUAGUGCACUGUUUUAGUUUGGGAUCUGCUGUUAGAAGGAAGAAGAAGGAGAAAGCAGAUGAAGUCGUGUCAGGUGACAAACAUCAAUCGUGAAGAUCGCACAGGUGUUUAACAGCGAUCACAAACCGGAAGUGUUUGAAAGACUUCUGGAUUCUGUUCCUGCAGCACAAGAUCGUCUGAACUACUGCAAGUCAUGAUGAGCAUCUGAUCGUCUUCAGUGACACAAAGAUCUCAGUGUUGAGCUGUUCAUCUGCUGUAUGUCAGAGAAGAGAGGAAAGAUGAGUCUCUCACACAAACAGAGUGUAAGAUCAGAAUCACAUGUGUCCAGCUCUGUGUCUGUGAAGAGUGACCGGUCAAAACAUGAACCACCAGACUUCAGUGAAGAAACAACAUCAGCUACUGAAAGGCUGCAAAAUGAGACAUUAGACUCAGACUUCCAGAUUAACAGGAACCGCAAGAAUUUCACAGACAAACUCCAAGGAAUCUUCCAGGAUCUUGAGAAGAAAAUAAUAAAAUUUCUAAAAAAUGAACUGGAC